rnacentral:tRNA from 1 species
UGGCAGAGUGGUUAAGCGUUUGGCUGCUAACCAAAAGGUCGGCAGUUCAAAUCCACC